UACGGAGGGGGCUAGCGUUGUUCGGAAUUACUGGGCGUAAAGCGCACGUAGGCGGCUUUGCAAGUUAGAGGUGAAAGCCCGGGGCUUAACCCCGGAAUUGCCUUUAAAACUGCAUCGCUAGAAUUGUGGAGAGGUGAGUGGAAUUCCGAGUGUAGAGGUGAAAUUCGUAGAUAUUGGGAAGAACACCGGUGGCGAAGGCGGCCAUCUGGACGGACACUGACGCUGAGGCGCGAAAGCGUGGGGGGAGCAAACAGG
rnacentral:rRNA from 1 species